GCGAAGCAAGACUGCGCCGCUGCCAGUCCAGAUCUGCGGCGCCGUUGCUCUUCCGUCGCUGCAACCGUCGGCCGCCAUCUCUGUUCGCGAAGCAAGGCCGCCGCGUGAACCUGUAACCGCCGCUGUCUCCCCUCUCCUUUCUCCUCUGUUUUCAGCCCAGCCGCCGCCGAUUCCUUCUCCUCCGUCGUCUGCACUGCCGCGCGACUCUCCGGCCAUCUGUAUACGGUCUCUCCGUCGCACGUCAUCUCUUCGCAAAGCCACUGCUCGAUUUCUUUCGUGAAGAUUUGGGUUCGUUCUUCAUAGACUUAACGUGGUUAAGGAGCUUAACAAAUUUGAAGGUAAGGGAUUUUCUACUGGACUCACUUAUGAUUGUGAAUUGCAUGUCUGAAUGAUUAUCUUUGACUGAGUAAAGAUGUUGAGAUGAUACUUAUGUUUACACACGUAUGGGUGUAGAUUCGGUGCUGAAUGUACACUGUGGAUUGACUGAAAAUAUAUAUACAUAUGCAUAGGAAUUGAAGUAGACUUAAUGUGGAAUGCA